rnacentral:rRNA from 1 species
GAGUUUGAUCCUGGCUCAGGACGAACGCUGGCGGCGCGCCUAACACAUGCAAGUCGAACGAGCGAGAGAGAGCUUGCUUUCUCGAGCGAGUGGCGAACGGGUGAGUAACGCGUGAGGAACCUGCCUCAAAGAGGGGGACAACAGUUGGAAACGACUGCUAAUACCGCAUAAGCCCACGACCCGGCAUCGGGUUGAGGGAAAAGGAGCGAUCCGCUUUGAGAUGGCCUCGCGUCCGAUUAGCUGGUUGGUGAGGUAAUGGCCCACCAAGGCGACGAUCGGUAGCCGGACUGAGAGGUUGAACGGCCACAUUGGGACUGAGACACGGCCCAGACUCCUACGGGAGGCAGCAGUGGGGAAUAUUGCACAAUGGGGGAAACCCUGAUGCAGCGACGCCGCGUGGAGGAAGAAGGUCUUCGGAUUGUAAACUCCUGUUGUUGAGGAAGAUAAUGACGGUACUCAACAAGGAAGUGACGGCUAACUACGUGCCAGCAGCCGCGGUAAAACGUAGGUCACAAGCGUUGUCCGGAAUUACUGGGUGUAAAGGGAGCGCAGGCGGGAAGACAAGUUGGAAGUGAAAUCUAUGGGCUCAGCCCAUAAACUGCUUUCAAAACUGUUUUUCUUGAGUAGUGCAGAGGUAGGCGGAAUUCCCGGUGUAGCGGUGGAAUGCGUAGAUAUCGGGAGGAACACCAGUGGCGAAGGCGGCCUACUGGGCACCAACUGACGCUGAGGCUCGAAGGUGUGGGUAGCAACAGGAUUAGAUACCCUGGUAGUCCACACCGUAAACGAUGAUUACUAGGUGUUGGAGGAUUGACCCCUUCAGUGCCGCAGUUAACACAAUAAGUAAUCCACCUGGGGAGUACGACCGCAAGGUUGAAACUCAAAGGAAUUGACGGGGGCCCGCACAAGCAGUGGAGUAUGUGGUUUAAUUCGACGCAACGCGAAGAACCUUACCAAGUCUUGACAUCCCUUGACGAACAUAGAAAUAUGUUUUCUCUUCGGAGCAAGGAGACAGGUGGUGCAUGGUUGUCGUCAGCUCGUGUCGUGAGAUGUUGGGUUAAGUCCCGCAACGAGCGCAACCCUUACUGUCAGUUACUACGCAAGAGGACUCUGGCAGGACUGCCGUUGACAAAACGGAGGAAGGUGGGGAUGACGUCAAAUCAUCAUGCCCUUUAUGACUUGGGCUACACACGUACUACAAUGGCGUUAAACAAAGAGAAGCAAGACCGCGAGGUGGAGCAAAACUCAGAAACAACGUCCCAGUUCGGACUGCAGGCUGCAACUCGCCUGCACGAAGUCGGAAUUGCUAGUAAUCGUGGAUCAGCAUGCCACGGUGAAUACGUUCCCGGGCCUUGUACACACCGCCCGUC